UCAUCCAGUGGGAUUUUGGGGUCAUUCCAUGGGAUUUUGGGGUCAUUUGUUGGGUUUGGGGGUCCUUGAGUGGGGUUUUGGGGUCAUUUGUUGGGUUUGGAGGUCAUCCAGUGGGAUUUUGGGGUCAUUCGAUGGGAUUUUGGGGUCCUUCAUUGUGGUUUUGGGGUCAUUCAGUGGGAUUUGAGGGUCAUUUGUUGGGUUUGGGAGUCGUUAAGUGGGAUUUUGGGGUCAUUUGUUGGGUUUGGGGGUCCUUGAGUGGGGUUUUGGGGUCAUUCAAUGGGAUUUUGGGGUCAUUUGU
rnacentral:lncRNA from 1 species